rnacentral:tRNA from 1 species
GGGCCCGUAUGGUAAUGGAUAACCGGCAAGGCUUCGGACCUUGAGCUGAGGGUUCGAAUACAAGCUUUAGGAAAGCUUGGGUAAAAUACGAAAAUCCCUCCGGGCUCG